CACGUAGGGGGCUAGCGUUGUCCGGAAUCAUUGGGCGUAAAGCGCGUGUAGGCGGUCCGGUAAGUCCGCUGUGAAAGUCGGGGGCUCAACCCUCGGAUGUCGGCGGAAACCAUCUGGCUAGAGUCCGGAAGAGGAAAGUGGAAUUCCCGGUGUAGCGGUGAAAUGCGCAGAUAUCGGGGAAGAACACCCCGUGGCGAAGGCGGCUUUCUGGGACGGUGACUGACGCUGAGACGCGAAAGCGUGGGGAGCGAACAGG
rnacentral:rRNA from 1 species